ACAAUUCUAAGGGUACAAGCACUUAGCGACACUAGAAGGCGAUUCAAAACAUAAGGUAGCACAGGUGGCCCUGAUGAUGUUCACAUUCAUAUUAGUGAGGAGCAGGCUAUGGUUGAUAAGGGUGCAUGAUUAUAUUUGCUAAGGGAUGCUACAGGAUUUCACAGCUCAAGAUUGUUGCAAAUUUACUUUAUUUUACAUGUAAUGUUAUUUGAUUUUGUAUUUGUAAGAAUGGAGACAUUGGUUUGUAUAUGUCAUUCUGGGCAACCACUUGUAUAUUCUAAAUGAAAUUUGAAAUUCCCCUUUAUGCUUA